GACGAACGUUGGCGGCGUGCUUAACACAUGCAAGUCGAACGGAAAGGCCCUGCUUUUGUGGGGUGCUCGAGUGGCGAACGGGUGAGUAACACGUGAGUAACCUGCCCUUGACUUUGGGAUAACUUCAGGAAACUGGGGCUAAUACCGGAUAGGAGCUCCUGCUGCAUGGUGGGGGUUGGAAAGUUUCGGCGGUUGGGGAUGGACUCGCGGCUUAUCAGCUUGUUGGUGGGGUAGUGGCUUACCAAGGCUUUGACGGGUAGCCGGCCUGAGAGGGUGACCGGCCACAUUGGGACUGAGAUACGGCCCAGACUCCUACGGGAGGCAGCAGUGGGGAAUAUUGCACAAUGGGCGGAAGCCUGAUGCAGCAACGCCGCGUGCGGGAUGACGGCCUUCGGGUUGUAAACCGCUUUCGCCUGUGACGAAGCGUGAGUGACGGUAAUGGGUAAAGAAGCACCGGCUAACUACGUGCCAGCAGCCGCGGUGAUACGUAGGGUGCGAGCGUUGUCCGGAUUUAUUGGGCGUAAAGGGCUCGUAGGUGGUUGAUCGCGUCGGAAGUGUAAUCUUGGGGCUUAACCCUGAGCGUGCUUUCGAUACGGGUUGACUUGAGGAAGGUAGGGGAGAAUGGAAUUCCUGGUGGAGCGGUGGAAUGCGCAGAUAUCAGGAGGAACACCAGUGGCGAAGGCGGUUCUCUGGGCCUUUCCUGACGCUGAGGAGCGAAAGCGUGGGGAGCGAACAGGCUUAGAUACCCUGGUAGUCCACGCUGUAAACGGUGGGUACUAGGUGUGGGGUCCAUUCCACGGGUUCCGUGCCGUAGCUAACGCUUUAAGUACCCCGCCUGGGGAGUACGGCCGCAAGGCUAAAACUCAAAGGAAUUGACGGGGCCCCGCACAAGCGGCGGAGCAUGCGGAUUAAUUCGAUGCAACGCGUAGAACCUUACCUGGGUUUGACAUGGAUCGGGAGUGCUCAGAGAUGGGUGUGCCUCUUUUGGGGUCGGUUCACAGGUGGUGCAUGGCAGUCGUCAGCUCGUGUCGUGAGAUGUUGGGUUAAGUCCCGCAACGAGCGCAACCCUUGUUCACUGUUGCCAGCACGUUAUGGUGGGGACUCAGUGGAGACCGCCGGGGUCAACUCGGAGGAAGGUGGGGAUGACGUCAAGUCAUCAUGCCCCUUAUGUCCAGGGCUUCACGCAUGCUACAAUGGCUGGUACAGAGAGUGGCGAGCCUGUGAGGGUGAGCGAAUCUCGGAAAGCCGGUCUCAGUUCGGAUUGGGGUCUGCAACUCGACCUCAUGAAGUCGGAGUCGCUAGUAAUCGCAGAUCAGCAACGCUGCGGUGAAUACGUUCCCGGG
rnacentral:rRNA from 1 species